ensembl:misc_RNA Metazoa_SRP Metazoan signal recognition particle RNA
GCCGGGCAUGGUGGCGCAUGCCUGUAGUCCUGACUACUCAGGAGGCUGAGGUGGGAGGAUGGCUCGUACCCAGGAGUUCAAGGCUGCAGUGAGCCACGAUCGCACCUGUCAAGAGCCGCUGUACUACUCCAGCCUGGGCAACAUAGUGAGACCCCAUCUCUA